rnacentral:rRNA from 1 species
GACGAACGCUGGCGGCGUGCUUAACACAUGCAAGUCGAACGGUGAAGGGACCGGUUUUUGCUGGUUCUGGAUGAGUGGCGAACGGGUGAGUAACACGUGAGUAACCUGCCCCCUUCUUCUGGAUAACCGCAUGAAAGUGUGGCUAAUGCGGGGUAUUCUGCGCCUGCUGCAUGGUGGGGGUGGGAAAGAUAGUGUGUCGGUGGGGGGUGGGCUGGCGGCCUGUCAGCGUGUUGGUGGGGUGAUGGCGUAGCAAGGCGGUGACGGGUAGCCGGCCUGAGAGGGUGGACGGCCUCAGUGGGACUGAGACCCGGUUGAGACUGCUACGGGACGCAGCAGCCGGGAGUAGUGCACAGUGGGGGCAAGUGUGAUGCAGGGACGCCGCGUGAGCGAUGGAGCCCUUCGGGGUGUAACCCUCUUUCGCUAGUGAAGCACGCCCGCCCCUUUUGUGGGUGGGUUGACGGUAGCUGGAGAAGAAGCGCCGGCUAACUACGUG